rnacentral:rRNA from 1 species
UACGAAGGGGGCUAGCGUUGUUCGGAAUCACUGGGCGUAAAGGGCGCGUAGGCGGCUUGAUAAGUCGGGGGUGAAAGCCUGUGGCUCAACCACAGAAUUGCCUUCGAUACUGUCGAGCUUGAGACCGGAAGAGGUAAGUGGAACUGCGAGUGUAGAGGUGAAAUUCGUAGAUAUUCGCAAGAACACCAGUGGCGAAGGCGACUUACUGGACACAUAUUGACGCUGAGGUGCGAAAGCGUGGGGAGCAAACAGGG